GAAUUUAAAAGGACGGCGUAAAGCUGUCGCUAAAAGGAUGAACCUGCGAUGCAUUAGCUAGUUGGUAAGGUAACAGGCUUACCAAGGCGAUGAUGCAUAGCCCGAGUUGAGAGACUGAUCGGGCCACAUUGGGACUGAGACACGGGCCCAAACUCCUACGGGAGGCAGCAGUAGGGGGAAUCUUCCACAAUGGACGAAAGUCUGAUGGAGCAAACGCCGCGUGAGUGAAGAAGGUUUUCGGAUCGUAAAAAGCUCUGUUGUUGGUGAAGAAGGAUAGAGGUAGUAACUGGCCCUUUAUUUGACGGUAAUCAACCCAGAAAGUCACGGGCUAACUACGUGCCCAGCAGCCGCGGUAAAU
rnacentral:rRNA from 1 species